rnacentral:rRNA from 1 species
ACUUUGCUUAACGCAAUAAAUACAACUUUUCAACAACGGAUCUCUUGGCUCUCGCAUCGAUGAAGAACGCAGCGAAAUGCGAUAAGUAAUGUGAAUGCAGAAAUUCAGUGAAUCAUCGAAUCUUUGAACGCACCUUGCGCUCCCUGGUAUUCCGGGGAGCAUGCCUGUUUGAGUGUCAUGAAUCUCUCAACCUACCAGAUUGCAAAAUCGAAGUAGUGUUGGAUUUGGAGGCUUGCUGGCCUAGUCAGCUCCUCUUAAAUGCAUUAGCUAUGGAUCGCGCAGCUAUUAGAUCUACGGUGUGAUACAUGUCUUACCAAUGGAUCGAAAGCUAUAAUCACCGCUUCGGCAGUGUAUACUUUAAUGUGUACCGUGUGAUGAGUGAAUACAAAGCUUCUAAUCGUCUGUAAUGGACAACUCUUUUGACAUCUGACCUCAAAUCAGGUAGGACUACCCGCUGAACUUAAGCAUAUCAAUAAGCGGAGGAAAAGAAACUAACAAGGAUUCCCCUAGUAACUGCGAGUGAAGCGGGAAAAGCUCAAAUUUAAAAUCUGGCAUCCUCUGGGUGUCCGAGUUGUAUUCUGGAGAAGCGUCUUCCGCGC